GGGAGGGUAGUCUAGCUUGGUAUGAUUCUCGGCUGGGGGCUGAGAGGUCGUGGGUUCAAAUCCCAUCCCUCCCACCA
rnacentral:tRNA from 1 species